rnacentral:misc_RNA from 1 species
GGAGAUCAAAACCUCUAUAAAUACCACUUAAUUCCAUGUAUUAAGGUUUAGCUUUCAGUUAAUAAAAAUUCCAAGAAGCCAAUGAAUGAAAAGAAGCAAAAAAAUAAAAAUAAAAAUUCCAGCAGAUAUUUCCUCUCACACACUUGUGAGAGAGUGUUCUUUGAGAAGCUUACACUGUGUCAAACUGUCAAAGUGUGCUAGAAGUCCUAG